rnacentral:rRNA from 1 species
UACCAGCACCCCGAGUGGUCGGGACGUUUAUUGGGCCUAAAGCAUCCGUAGCCGGUUCUACAAGUCUUCCGUUAAAUCCAACUGCUUAACAGGUGGGCUGCGGAAGAUACUAUAGAGCUAGGAGGCGGGAGAGGCAAGCGGUACUCGAUGGGUAGGGGUAAAAUCCGUUGAUCCAUUGAAGACCACCAGUGGCGAAGGCGGCUUGCCAGAACGCGCUCAACGGUGAGGGAUGAAAGCUGGGGGAGCAAACCGG